rnacentral:rRNA from 1 species
GUGGGGAAUAUUGGACAAUGGGCGAAAGCCUGAUCCAGCCAUGCCGCGUGUGUGAAGAAGGUCUUCGGAUUGUAAAGCACUUUAAGUUGGGAGGAAGGGCAGUAAGCUAAUACCUUGCUGUUUUGACGUUACCGACAGAAUAAGCACCGGCUAACUCUGUGCCAGCAGCCGCGGUAAUACAGAGGGUGCAAGCGUUAAUCGGAAUUACUGGGCGUAAAGCGCGCGUAGGUGGUUCGUUAAGUUGGAUGUGAAAUCCCCGGGCUCAACCUGGGAACUGCAUCCAAAACUGGCGAGCUAGAGUAGGGCAGAGGGUGGUGGAAUUUCCUGUGUAGCGGUGAAAUGCGUAGAUAUAGGAAGGAACACCAGUGGCGAAGGCGACCACCUGGGCUCAUACUGACACUGAGGUGCGAAAGCGUGGGGAGCAAACAGGAUUAGAAACCCUAGUAGUCC